CACACUUAUUCUUGUGAACCUCUAAGUUUUAGAUGGAAGGUCUUAUUGAAAUCAUUUUUGGGCCAAAUCAUGGAAAGCUUGCUGAUGGUUUUCAAUGCAAAAGUCUCAGCUUAUAGGCAGCCUGUCAUAUAUUCUUACCUGUACCAGGAUGUUUUCAAGUACUAUUUAGUGCUGUCAUUUAUACGUUAGUUCUACACCUUUUUUCCAGCCUAACAGAAUUUGGAUGGUAAAAAUGUCAACUCUUCAGAAGCAGUAUCAUGAUGAGCUUAGAAAAGAACUUCAAUGUACCCAAAUUUCUGCUACUUCAGAUGGGAAUAAGGAGUGUGUUCGUUCACUCAUUGAUAUCAGAGAAGAUUCUCUUCUAGAUUUAAGUUAAAUUUCAAAGGAUGAAGACAACAUGUCCAAGCUUAGGAUGUACCGUAAAAAAGAGAAGCUAAUGAAAGCUAUGGAGUAAUAUGCAGCAAAAGGUGUUCUAAAAUUUUUCUUUGUGAAUAUACAGGUCUCAAGUUUAACCAAUAUACAUUCUUGCUCUCAACUCUAUGAUGGAUACCCCUUUAGAGAAUUCGCCUAUUUUGGAGGUUUUUGUCAAAGGAGAUAACAUUAUUUUCUAGGAUUAUUUGGCAAACAUUCUAUUAAUAUACUUAAAGAUGUUAGCUAUUUUGGUUGAUGAAUUGUGUAAAUAGUAUUGUGACUAUAGUUUUGUAUGUUGUACUUAUUGUGGGAUGUUAAUUCGAAGUAUUGGUAAUACUAUUGAUAAUUUUAUUUAUAUGCA